rnacentral:rRNA from 1 species
ACUAUCCAACGGUGCGCGCUCAAACUACCCUACAGAGAACGAUAACCUCGGGAAACUGAGGCUAAUAGUUCAUACGGGAGUCAUGCUGGAAUGCCGACUCCCCGAAACGCUCAGGCGCUGUAGGAUGUGGCUGCGGCCGAUUAGGUAGACGGUGGGGUAACGGCCCACCGUGCCGAUAAUCGGUACGGGUUGUGAGAGCAAGAGCCCGGAGACGGAAUCUGAGACAAGAUUCCGGGCCCUACGGGGCGCAGCAGGCGCGAAACCUUUACACUGCACGCAAGUGCGAUAAGGGGACCCCAAGUGCGAGGGCAUAUAGUCCUCGCUUUUCACGACUGUAAGGCGGUCGUGGAAUAAGAGCUGGGCAAGACCGGUGCCAGCCGCCGCGGUAAUACCGGCAGCUCAAGUGAUGACCGAUAUUAUUGGGCCUAAAGCGUCCGUAGCCGGCCACGAAGGUUCAUCGGGAAAUCCGCCAGCUCAACUGGCGGGCGUCCGGUGAAAACCACGUGGCUUGGGACCGGAAGGCUCGAGGGGUACGUCCGGGGUAGGAGUGAAAUCCCGUAAUCCUGGACGGACCACCGAUGGCGAAAGCACCUCGAGAAGACGGAUCCGACGGUGAGGGACGAAAGCUAGGGUCUCGAACCGGAUUAGAUACCCGGGUAGUCCUAGCUGUAAACGAUGCUCGCUAGGUGUGACACAGGCUACGAGCCUGUGUUGUGCCGUAGGGAAGCCGAGAAGCGAGCCGCCUGGGAAGUACGUCCGCAAGGAUGAAACUUAAAGGAAUUGGCGGGGGAGCACUACAACCGGAGGAGCCUGCGGUUUAAUUGGACUCAACGCCGGACAUCUCACCAGCUCCGACUACAGUGAUGACGAUCAGGUUGAUGACCUUAUCACGACGCUUUAGAGAGGAAGUGCAUGGCCGCCGUCAGCUCGUACCGUGAGGCGUCCUGUUAAGUCAGGCAACGAGCGAGACCCGCACUUCUAUUGCCAGCACCAUUUUCAACUGGGUGGGGUACAUUUAAAAGAAUGCCGCUGCUA